rnacentral:rRNA from 1 species
GGAGGGUGCAAGCGUUAAUCGGAAUUACUGGGCGUAAAGCGCGCGUAGGCGGCUGUCUAAGUCGGGUGUGAAAGCCCCGGGCUCAACCUGGGAACUGCAUCCGAUACUGGUCAGCUAGAGUAUGGGAGAGGGAGGUAGAAUUCCACGUGUAGCGGUGAAAUGCGUAGAUAUGUGGAGGAAUACCGGUGGCGAAGGCGGCCUCCUGGCCCAAUACUGACGCUGAGGUGCGAAAGCGUGGGGAUCAAACAGGAUUAGAUACCCUGGUAGUCCACGCUGUAAACGAUGUCAACUAGCCGUUGGGGACCUUGUGUCCUUGGUGGCGUAGCUAACGCGCUAAGUUGACCGCCUGGGGAGUACGGUCGCAAGAUUAAA